rnacentral:lncRNA from 1 species
GCGCCCGGCCCCGGUCCUCGGAACCAUCCGCCCUGAAAGGAGAGAAGAGCGAGCCGGAGAAGAUCCCACCUGGUCUUCAGAUAAUCAAGGCUUGUGCCCCUCUGGUUAGCUCCUCCUCUCCAAUGCACUUUGCUACAUUCCUCUGCAAAUUCAGAUCUCUACUUAAACACCACUUCCUCUGGUACACUUUCCACGAUUCCCUUAGGCUGUCAUUGCUGUGUGCACUUUGUCGCCCGUCAUAGACCUUAUCCAGUGUCUGGAAGUCAAGAUUACAAGGGGAGAAGAGGCAAAAGAUGAGGCUGAAAAAAUAACUUCGUUUGGUUCAUUCCUUCCUUCUUCCUUGAAUUCUUCUCCAGCCGGCCUGUAUCACAAUGUCUGCAAUUACUAGAGCCUCCUACUGGCUGGGCAUGGUGGCUCACACCUGUAAUCUCGGUACUCUGGGAAGCCAAGGCUGGAGGAUCACUUGAGACCAGCCCAGCAACAUGUCUCUACAAAAAAUAAAAAAUUACCAGGGGUAGUGGCGCACACCUGUAGUACUAGCUACUUGGGAGGCUAGGAGGAUUACUUGAGCCCAGGAAUUUAAGUCUGCAGUGAGCCGGGAUCAUGCCACUGUAAUCCAUCCUGGGCCACAAACAUAGUGAGACCCUGACUCAAAAAUAAAAAAUAGAAUAAUAAGCCUCCUACUGAUGCCGAUUUCCUGGGAAGAAAACAGAAUACAAAUGUGGCAACCAGCCCCCACAAUUACCCCUCAUGAUCCUCACUUGCUGAGAUUCAUGCCCUAGUAUAAUCAGGCACACCAAAUCACAGCUGUCUGUGUGAAGGCACUAGGGCUUCUGCCUUGGCCUCUUGAAUUGGUAAAUGGGGCCUCAAUGGGGGAAGCCAGCUGCCAUGUCAUGAGAACAUUAGACAGUCUUGUGGAAAGGCCCCACAGAGAGAAGAACUGUCCUUGAAGGUGGAUCCUCCAGCCUCAGGAAUUCCUUCAGGUAACUGCAGCCCCAGCUGACAUCUGGAUCACAACCUUAGCAGACAUCCCACACUAGAGCAGCCCAUCUAAGUCACUUCCCAAUACCUGAUCCACAGAAACUGUAAAAGGUGACAAUGUCUAUAACUGUUCUAAGCCUCUAAAUUUUAGAAACUAAUGCAACAAAUAAGAAAUUUAAUAGUAACAGC